UACGGAGGGUGCAAGCGUUAAUCGGAAUGACUGGGCGUAAAGCGCACGCAGGCGGUCUGUUAAGUUGGAUGUGAAAUCCCCGGGCUUAACCUGGGAACUGCAUUCAAAACUGACAGGCUAGAGUCUUGUAGAGGGGGGUAGAAAUCCAGGUGUAGCGGUGAAAUGCGUAGAGAUCUGGAGGAAUACCGGUGGCGAAGGCGGCCCCCUGGACAAAGACUGACGCUCAGGUGCGAAAGCGUGGGGAGCAAACAGG
rnacentral:misc_RNA from 1 species